GAUGAACGCUGGCGGCGUGCCUAAUACAUGCAAGUCGAGCGAAUGGAUUAAGAGCUUGCUCUUAUGAAGUUAGCGGCGGACGGGUGAGUAACACGUGGGUAACCUGCCCAUAAGACUGGGAUAACUCCGGGAAACCGGGGCUAAUACCGGAUAACAUUUUGAACCGCAUGGUUCGAAAUUGAAAGGCGGCUUCGGCUGUCACUUAUGGAUGGACCCGGGUCGCAUUAGCUAGUUGGUGAGGUAACGGCGCACCAAGGCAACGAUGCGUAGCCGACCUGAGAGGGUGAACGGCCACACUGGGACUGAGACACGGCCCAGACUCCUACGGGAGGCAGCAGUAGGGAAUCUUCCGCAAUGGACGAAAGUCUGACGGAGCAACGCCGCGUGAGUGAUGAAGGCUUUCGGGUCGUAAAACUCUGUUGUUAGGGAAGAACAAGUGCUAGUUGAAUAAGCUGGCACCUUGACGGUACCUAACCAGAAAGCCACGGCUAACUACGUGCCAGCCGCCGCAGUAA
rnacentral:rRNA from 1 species